GAAUGGAGGAAAAGGGAUUGUGGUAUGAUCAGCAAAUCCUGGUGGUGAUGAGGACCAUGUGAGAAGGAACAGAAAUCACCUCUCUAUAUGCAGCAAUCCUUAAAUGAGAGAAUCUCCUUUGACACUAUGAGCACUUAAAGUAUUGUUCAGGCUCAUCCUAGUAGAAGAAAAGACAGAAAAUGAUAUCUCCAAUUUAUUACUGAAUUUGUCUGGGGGCACUGUUCUGAUAGAAAUGACACUAAAUCCACUGGGAAGUAGAAACUAUGGAUGUGAUGAGGAUGCA